rnacentral:lncRNA from 1 species
GCCGUCAUCGCCUUGUCUAGGCCUCCGACUCUGUUUUUCAGGUGAUUUGUGUCCAUGCUCUCGUUUCGAUCUCCCUGCAGAUGUUGCGUAGUUUUCUUUUUUCUCGUUUUUCUGUAGGUUCUUUUCUAGUCGAUGUGGUUUCCGAAUCGUGUAAAGUUCCUGCAGGCGAUAGUGAAUUCCAGAUUGCGAGAGAUGCGGUGAGCCUUAUCCACCGGAACAGUUGUGGACUCCUAACUACUUCCUUAGAACUCUUUCUUUUGACCGGAUUUUUGAUGGACGUUGCUGUUUGGCGCAAUGUGAAAUAUUACAAGAGGAUUUAAUUAGACUGAAGCUAAUAUCACAGGGGGAGUCAAUCCGAUAUAUUACUACCUUCUGUCAGCUUCUGUGCAGGUGACCGACAUCUUGGAGAUGCAGGGUCGGAAAGAAUUGCUCACAUUCGGUGGUCAUUCCGCUGGCGUGGAGAGAAUACCAGGAAAUUUUAUUGUUGUGCUCACGUUCGGUGUUUCGAAAUGGCAAUCGGUAAUAAUUGCUAGAAGACACCAGCGAUCAUUGGAUUCCGGACCAGGUUCUGAUGAGCUUCGUUACCGAUUUGCAAAUCAGCAGUGCCCACUGGCUUCAGAACUGCUCCCCGGGGUUACUUUUUGACGUGGCGGCACCGCAAUCCGACGCAGGCACAAACUAGGUGCCAGGCACCGCAACCAUCGAAGACCUUAUCACGAUUACCUCAUCACAAAUGCUGGACGAUGCACAUGCGAGGGAGGUGGCUCGUCGAAAUCCUGGAAACGUUGAGAAAAUAGACAUCGAAACCAGGGGAGGUUGUGGGUUUUUUAACCACUGAAGAGUUGGAGUUACUGGAGGACUAUCUUAUGAAUGGGGAAGCAUUCUAUCUUGAAACUUUUGCAUACAAUGCACACCAUCUCCAAGGCAAGGAGUUUUCUCACAGCCAUCUAACCAUCGAACAAUUUGUAAAAUGAAAACACAAAAUAUAUUCUGGAAAACAAUAAGGAAACCCAGUCCAAUCACUGUACAAGCGUAAACCCACGUUUCACCACAUGAGACCUUGAUUCGGAGCUCAACAUACUCCACUCUCCUCACAGUUCCACCAAAUCACGUCAUCAAACACACCGCUAUAUUCCCUCGCUAUGCAAACAUACAGUUGCGACUUCGCAGCUGCUAAUUCUACAAUUAGUACCUGCUCAAAAAAAUGCAAUCCGUUGAUAAUAAACGAUGAGAAUUGAUAUUUCCACCCAAAGUUUUAUUUUUUGUACCCCAAAAUUGUGCUCCACCUAAUAUUCUUUUCAUCCACGAUUGAAUUAUAUCCUUGCUAUUGUCUACCUUUAGGUUAGGUUGGCUAUAUUAAUUUAUAUCAAAUUUGUCUAAAACAUUUAGAAUAACUAAUCAUACAAACAUAUAAAAUUAGUUUUUAAACCAAUCAAAUAAAUGAAUUCUAUUUUAUAUUUUAAAGAAUAUUCUUUAGUUUUUACUUUAUAUAAUGUUUUUUGUUU